rnacentral:lncRNA from 10 species
CGAACCGCGGCGACCGGGACGGGCUCCCCCACCCUCUCCCUGGCGGAUCCUUCCUACUUGCCUUCCUCCCCCCGGCAACAAGCCCCCACUACCCACGACGAUCGACAACGACGGCACGGGACCUUCCACCCCGCCAGGGCCAACGAACCCCGCACCACGAGCUGCGUGAGGCGCGAGGGAGCCUCCGAGGGAGGAAUCUGGACCGCGGUGGUGGCCACGGGAACUCGGCCCCAGCCGGCUCUCUUCCCUCUCUGUUUUCGCGGGUGGCGGUGCCGCCCUCUCUCUCUUCCUCACAGCCGGGAGUCCCCCUUCCCCAUGCCACCCAAUGCGUGACCACACAGGGCCUGCGGGGGGAGGGAGAAGGGGCGGGCACGGCGGCAGAGGAGGGCGGACGUCGCCGGUCUGCACUUGGGGGGACGGAGGGCCCCGGCAGGCCACGUCAGGGAACCCCCAGCCAUGCACCCCGAGGAGCCCGGAGGCCACUUGUCCCUCUAAGAAGUUGGGGGACGCCGACCGCUCGGGGUCGGCAUCGUUUAUGGUCAGAACUACCACGGUAUCUGAUCGUCUUCGAACCUCCGACUUUCAUUCUUGAUUAAUGAAAACAUUCUUGGCAACGCGGUCCUAUUCCAUUAUUCCUAGCUGCGGUAUCCAGGCGGCUUGGACCUGCUUUGAACACUCUAAUUUUUUCAAAGUAAACGCUUUGGGCCGCGGAACACUCAGCUAAGAGCAUCGAGGGGGCGCCAAGAGGCAAGGGGCGGGGACGGCUUUUUAACUGCAGCAACUUUAAUAUACGCUAUUGGAGCUGGAAUUACCGCGGCUGCUGGCACUAAACUUGCCCUCCAAUGGAUCUUCGUUAAAGGAUUUAAAGUGGACUCAUUCCAAUUACAGGACCUCGAAAGAGUCCUGUAUUGUUAU